UGAAAUAUAGCAUAAUUUAAUGCAUUUCACUUACACUGAAAAUAUACUUAAAAUUAAGUUAUUUCAA
rnacentral:tRNA from 1 species